GAUGAACGCUAGCUACAGGCUUAACACAUGCAAGUCGAGAGACCGGCGCACGGGUGAGUAACACGUAUCUAACCUGCCCUUUACUCCGGGAUAGCAUUUCGAAAGAAAGAUUAAUACUCGAUAUAAAGGAUGGGGAUGCGUUCCAUUAGGUUGUUGGUGAGGUAACGGCUCACCAAGCCUUCGUUGGAUAGGGGUUCGGAGAGUAAGGUCCGCCCCUUUGGAAUUGAGCCCCAGUCCAAACUCAUACGGAGGGGAGCGGUGAGGAAUAUUGGUCAAUAGGCAGUAGCCUGAACCAGCCAAGUAGCGUGAAGGAAGAAGUCUUAUUGUUAGGAAGCUUCUUUUAUAUAAGAAUCUGUAUUAUAUGAAUAAGGAUCGGCUUACACCGUGCCAGCGGCCGCGGUAAUUC
rnacentral:rRNA from 1 species